CACACCGCCCGUCACACCAUGGGAGUUGGCUUUACCCGAAGGCGGUGCGCUAACCAGCAAUGGAGGCAGCCGACCACGGUAGGGUCAGCGACUGGGGGUG
rnacentral:rRNA from 1 species